UGCUUUCAAGGGUCUUUUUUUUUUUUUUNNNNNNNNNNNNNNNNNUUUUUUUUUUUUUUUGCCCUGGAGGGAAAAAAAAAAAGAGAGGAGAAAAAGCUAAUAAAGCAAUCACCAAAUGCUGAGCCCCUGGCUCUAAGCCUGCGGAUUCUGGUUGUAGCCUUGGCACCAACAGGCUGGGGGGCUUUCAUUAAAAAGAAGCGGAGGGGAACGAGCAGUCAGUGGCUCGACCCGCAUGCCUGCCGCCGGCUGUCCGUCUGGGCGUCUGUCUCCCUUUGUUCCCGCCUUCCUCCCCUCCCCCGCCCCCUCUCAGAUUCUCUCCAGCCUCUUCGGCUCGUAGUUCCGGCUGGCUCUCCAGCCCCGAACACUUCCAGCCCCAGGCAUCUUUCUGCCUUCGGCCCAGCGCACUCCAGGCCUUCACUCUCUUCCCCUUUCUGCUCCGCUUUUCAAUUUAUUCUGCCUUUUAUUGCUCGCUAUUGCAGAGACUAUUGCCCUGGAGACAGGAAUGGUUCUAGUAGGGAAAGGCACUCUUGGUGGAUUUCAUUAACAUUCCUGCCCGGUCCGUCUGCGGUGGGGGCGGGUAGCUGGCCCGGCAGGGGAGGAAGGGGCCCUGGAGGGCAUUCGACAGACAGUGGAGGCUGAGGGGGAUCUCAGGGACUCGCCUGUCUCCCUCAGCACUCUGCGCCUUCUCAGAGCUCACCUCCAUUCAGAGCUGAGGCCCCUGGAACCAGACAGCACUCUCCCCUUAGUUCUGGCCUCACGAAGCAAAGCAGAGUCCUUCUCCCCUCCCACUUGCAGCUGGCUGGACUUUGUCAAACACACAAGCACCCGCUCCCAUGCCCUGAGGGGUAGGCCGGAUGGAGGCAGGUUUACAU
rnacentral:lncRNA from 1 species